CACCGACUGAACUCUGGCAGUGUUUCUCGCUUUGAAAUACAGGAGGAUUCUCACAAAAUCCGGAAGAGAGGUGGGGCUUGGGCAUAGCCAUCACGGAAGCAGGGCUGAAAGCUGAAUCCACACCCAGCAGCCCUGUAACUUCACAGGCCAGGCUGGACUGAGAUUUGUUUACAGCCCCAGGUAGAGAAGGUGGAUUUGUUCUCUGGACCCACACCUCUAGGGCAAACAAGCAGUAAGCAGAGUUCUGAUACACGGCAGAGGUCUCUCAAUAAUGACCCAGACAGAACAAGGCACACAUUUGCUAAUUCCAGCAUGAUACCCUGUACUUGCUGUGCAAACAUGUGGCACAUGUGCUGGAUUCCUGUCUCCAGCACUAAGAGGAUCCUGCUGAAGAAUGCUGUUUCAAGGCUUUACCUGGGAAAGGGAUGCAAACUUGGUGUUUUCAGUUAACUUUAUAAAACCUGUAAGAAUUCUAGAAAAGUGCUUUCACAUACACACUUUAGAGA